rnacentral:misc_RNA from 1 species
UUGAAUUGUGGAAGGAUUUUUGAAUUUUGAUGAGUUAAGGGAGAGGUACAUUUUUGGCAGCCAUGGAACUUCAAUAAGGGCAGUUUAUCCUUGCAUGUAAAUGGUAGAUUAAAGUGUUGAUGAAGUGUUUAUGUGUGUAGGAAUAAAUUGGGUGAUGUAUACUAAAUGUAUGUGAAAGUACACUUGAUUUUGGAAGCUUGGAAGUUAAUUGAGAGAGAUGUAUGAAUCG